rnacentral:misc_RNA from 1 species
GAUGAAGAACGCAGCGAAAUGCGAUAAAUAAUGUGAAUUGCAGAAUUCAGUGAAUCAUCGAGUCUUUGAACGCACAUUGCGCCCCCUGGUAUUCCGGGGGGCAUGCCUGUCCGAGCGUCAUUGCUGCCCUCAAGCACGGCUUGUGUGUUGGGCCUCCGUCCUCCUCCCGGGGGACGGGCCCGAAAGGCAGCGGCGGCACCGCGUCCGGUCCUCGAGCGUAUGGGGCUUCGUCACCCGCUCUUGUAGGCCCGGCCGGCGCUUGCCGACACAUCAAUCUUUUUUCCAGGUUGACCUCGGAUCAGGUAGGGAUACCCGCUGAACUUAAGCAUAUCAAUAAGCGGAGGA